AUGAAUUUCUUGGCCUGGAACUGUCGAGGAUUGGGGUUGGACUCGAUAGUUGGCGAACUAAGGGACCUGAUACGGUCAUACAACCCAGUAGUGGUUUUUCUUUCGGAGACAAAGAAGAAGGCGAGAGCGAUGGAGAAAAUAAAAUGGAGUUUGGGCUUCAAAAGUGGUGUGGCGGUGGAUUGCCAAGGCUUGAGCGGUGGUCUAGCUCUAUGGUGGAGGGAGAACGUGCAUGUCAAGGUGAGGCCAUGGUGCCAAUACUUCAUCGAUACGGAGAUGACUUGGGAGGGCAAGACCUAUAGAUUCACUGGUUUCUAUGGUGAGCCUAAGACGGAGUUACGUAAGAAGUCUUGGGAUGCUAUUCGCUUUUUGAGGGCACAAGACGAUCUUCCUUGGAUUUGUGCAGGUGAUUACAAGGAGGCCCUCUUCCAAACUGAUCAACUAGGAGGUAACCCGAGACCGUUUGCUCAAAUGGAGGACUUUAGGGACUGCUUGGCCAAUUGCGGGCUAUCGGACCUGGGUUUCUCGGGGUACCCAUAUACAUGGGACAAUAAAAGGGAUGGGGCUGAUAAUAUCAAGGUCAGAUUGGACCGGGUGGCGUGCACAGACAGUUUUCUAAGCAUGUUCCCAGAGACUCAUGUUGAACGUCUUGUGACGGAGGAAUCUGACCAUCAAGCAAUACUUGUUCAAGCGUUGGAGACAGCUCCACGCGAGAAAGAGAGGGGGUUUUGA
rnacentral:rRNA from 1 species